rnacentral:rRNA from 1 species
AUACGUAGGGGGCAAGCGUUGUCCGGAAUUAUUGGGCGUAAAGAGCUCGUAGGCGGUUCGGUAAGUCGGGUGUGAAAAUCCAGGGCUCAACCCUGGGACGCCACCCGAUACUGCUGUGACUAGAGUCCGGUAGAGGAGCGUGGAAUUCCUGGUGUAGCGGUGAAAUGCGCAGAUAUCAGGAGGAACACCAGCGGCGAAGGCGGCGCUCUGGGCCGGUACUGACGCUGAGGAGCGAAAGCGUGGGGAGCAAACAGGAUUAGAUACCCCGGUAGUCC